rnacentral:lncRNA from 1 species
CGAGUUUGUAAAAAGUAAGUCUGUGGGUGGAUUUCAAAACAGGCUGAGUACUUUAGUUGGGUUUAAGGCAGCCUCUGAACCUGUAUCAGGCUCUGCACAUUGCUGUGGAGCAGCUGUCCUGGGAUGGCGUCCCUCCAGCCUUCAUGGUGCCACUCUAAUUCAGUCCCUUGGCACCAGCAUGUUUGAAGGCAUUUUUUUUUUAACUUCAUUUUCAGCUCUUCGUCUGCAUCAGCAAAUGGCUCCAGUGGGGCCACAGAGGGAAAGUGAGGCAGGGGGACAGGAGCAAGGAGGCGACUACCAGGGAGACAGGACUGCUUUUUACUUUCCCCCAGAGGACUCUGGUUAUUUAGAAGAGACAUCAAGACCUGAAUCACCACCAGGUUGCGGCUGUGCUGGUGUGAAAGCAUGGGAAAGUGCCCAGUCUCAGUAGCUCUCAUGAAUUUCAGUUCAGGCCGUCGUGAAGUUCAAAUAACUAUUUGGGACACUUAGAAAAUGGAGAUAAAACACAUAAGGAACCAGAAGAGGCUUACAGAAAGGCAGGGUGCACAGCUUCACCAAAUAGUUCUCAUUUUUAAUAUUUCCAUUUCCCCUUCUAAACUUUUUCAGAGCUGUGAAAAAAUAAUGAGAAAAUGUGCUUCCUUGAGACAAGCCCGUGCUAUCAGCUAAGCAACCUCACAUUCAUUGUAGUGCUCCAAGUACUCUGGAAUGCUUUUCAGCCCAGAGGAUAAUGGUAUCGGACGACCAGAAAGGCUGUCCUGUAAAAGACUGUUAUUAUGAUUUCCAGCCUCAGAAGUUGGCUUAAUCCAGCUGAGCACACACACGUUAUUUAGAGAGGAGACAGCGCUCAGACACUAGUAUCGUCGUCAUCUUUAUUGCAAAUGAAGAAUUCAGCCGGUGAAAGGCAAGUCACGUUUUUGUCCUAAGCCCUGCAAACACUGGCUGUUGCGCUUGCCUUUUUGCGCUCCGCAGCGAGUGCCCGGAGCCCCUGAAUGCGAGGCUGUUUGCAGGGAUUUGCAUCUGCCCAAAGCCCUCUUUUCCCCGCGGACACCUCAUCAAUCACGGUGGCAAGGGAUGUGCUCCCCACACCCCCAAGAAAACAGAUAUACGAUCACGUAUAGGGUAAGGCACGAACAGAGGGGUUAACGGGAGGUGGCAAAGUGUGUAAGAAACCUCCCCGGCACGGGAGAUGAGCACGGGGGGCCUUAAAAUAAAUCUGUCUUUUUAAAGCA